GGGUUUUGUGGGAGGUGGGGGAAGGGACAGAGCGCACGGCUCUGUCCUUUCCCCCACCUCCCAGAAAAGCCC